rnacentral:rRNA from 1 species
UACAGAGGUCUCGAGCGUUAGGCGGAAUCACUGGGCUUAAAGCGUGUGUAGGCGGAUCGGUAAAGUACCUUGUGAAAUCCCACAGCUUAACUGUGGAACUGCUUGGUAUACUGCCAGUCUUGAGCCACUUAGGGGCUACCGGAACAAAUGGUGGAGCGGUGAAAUGCGUAGAUAUCAUUUGGAACGCCAAUGGUGAAAACAGGUAGCUGGGAGUGUGCUGACGCUGAGACACGAAAGCCAGGGGAGCAAACGGG